AUGCCCUCAAUGUUUACUCUACUCUAUAUUUUACUCAUCCUUUUCUCCGUCAGGACUACAAUACUCGAAGCAGCACAAGCAAACAAGUCGGAGAUUGAUCGCCAGGCCCUCCUCUGCUUCAAGUCCGGCAUCAGCUCUUAUCCCCUUGGUAUCCUAGACUCAUGGAGCAACAACUCACUUAACUUUUGCGGCUGGAAAGGGGUCACUUGCGGCACAAAGUUUCCACCCCGGGUGGUCUCUCUUAACUUCAACUAUGCUCGUCUCAGUGGGAAGUUAUCUGGAUGCCUGGGCAACUUGACAUUUCUAUCCAGGAUGAACCUUGCCUAUAAUAAUCUUUCGGGAACUAUCCCUGAAGACUUGGGUAUGCUUCCAAACCUCCAUACACUGAAUCUUGCCGGCAGCUAUCUUCAAGGUAACAUCCCCAUUUCCUUAGGCGCUAGCAAUUCACUUAGCUAUGUCAAUCAUGGAAACAACACUCUAACAGGCGGCAUCCCUCUCUCAUUGACCAAUUGCUCCUCACUCAACACACUUAUAUUGUCACGUAAUAACCUCUCUGGAGAGAUCCCUUCUACUUUGUUUGAUAACUUAUCUAAGCUUACUAAGGUUGAUCUCCAGAAGAAUUCUUUUACUGGUCUCAUCCCACGUUUCCAUAAGGUCACAGCACUCAAAUUUCUUUGCCUGACAGAGAACUUCCUCUCUGGAAACAUACCUCUUUCAAUAGGAAAUGUUUCUUCCCUCACUUCUAUAUUGCUCGGCCAAAAUAAGCUAUCAGGAUUAAUUCCAGAAACUAUAGGUCACACUACAAAACUGCUUGAGCUUGACCUAAGUUUCAACAGUUUAUCAGGUAAUGUCCCGGUUUCCCUGUAUAACAUGUCAUCACUCAAAAACUUUAGUGUUGGCAGCAAUGGCCUUGUUGGACAGUUACCAUCUUACAUUGGUCACUCACUACCAACCCUCCGGUCCCUAAUUAUGGGAAGCAACAGGCUGGAGGGCUUGAUCCCUACUUCACUAGCCAACAUGUCAAAUCUUCAAAUGCUUGAUCUUUCAGACAACUCGCUAAAUGGCCGUGUCCCAUCUCUUGGUUCUUUGGCAAACUUGAGUCAGUUAGUUUUGGGGAGCAACUUGCUAGAAGCACAUGACUGGUCAUUUCUUACAUCUCUAGCAAAUUGCACCCAGCUUACAAAGUUGUCCUUGGAAGGGAAUGGUUUGAAUGGCAGCUUACCUGCAGCAGUUGUUAAUCUUUCCACGAGGCUGCAAGAUUUGUCGCUUGGGUCAAACCAAAUUUCAGGCUCCAUACCUGUUGAAAUUAGCAAUCUUGUUAAUCUCACAUCUCUUAGGAUGGAAAGUAAUUUUCUUUCUGGAAGCAUACCUUCUACCAUUGGAAAGCUGCAAAACCUAUAUGUCCUAAAUCUAUCAAAGAACAAAUUAUCAGGUCAGAUCCCUCCCUCAGUCGGUGACAUUACUCAACUGGGCAAGCUUUAUCUUGAUGAUAACAACUUGAGUGGAAACAUACCUGAUAGUUUAGGUCAGUGCAAGGGACUUCUUGAACUAAACUUGUCUACUAACAGCCUUGAUGGGUCAAUACCAGUCAAACUUUUUGAUCGCCCUCCACUUUCCUUGGGUGUGGACUUUUCGUACAACAAGCUCAUAGGAGAAAUACCAUCAGAAGUUGGUAAUUUGGCAAAUCUUGCUCUUUUGAAUGUUUCCAACAAUAUGUUGUUUGGAACGAUUCCUGAAGCUCUUGGAAGCUGUCUUACUUUAUUGUUCUUGCGCAUGGAGAAAAACAUGCUUGAAGGGCAAAUUCCUCAAAGUUUCAGGAAGUUGCGGUCCAUCCAGCAGAUUAAUCUAGCUCGAAAUAAUUUAUCUGGUUCAGUGCCAUACUUCUUUGGCGACUUCACUUUGUUGGACAAGCUGGAUCUAUCAUACAACAACUUUGAAGGGCAAAUUCCCUCUGGUGGAUGCUUUAGGAACUCGAGUAUGGUAGUUUUGGAUGGCAAUAAGAUGUUGUGUGCAAGAGUCUCCAUGCUAGGGCUUCGAAUUUGUGAUGACACCCAGACAAAGAACCAUGUGCCUUUGCUAAGAAUAGUAAUGAUAAUUACACCGCUAAUUGCUGGUGUGUUACUGUUAUGUUUGGUUGUCACUGUUUGGAAAAGAAGGGCGCAACUUACAUUUCCAAGGUGUAAUAAGAUUCCCGGUGUGUUAUGUUUAGUUGCCAACCGGAAGAAAAGAGAAGCAGUUGCCAACCAGAAGAUAAGAGAAGUGGUUGCAUGUUCUAACCACAAGGAGACUCUGAAGAAGAUAUCAUAUGGUGACAUUCUGAAAGCUACCAACUGGUUUUGUUCGGUCCAUACUAUCAGCUCAACCUGUACCGGAUCAGUUUAUGUCGGUAGGUUCAAGUCUGACAGGAGCCUAGUUGCUAUCAAAGUAUUCAACCUGAAUGAGCCUGGUGGAUAUGGUAGUUACUUUACCGAGUGUGAGGUGCUACGAAGCACCCGCCACCGGAAUAUAAUGCGGCCUAUGACCCUAUGCUCGACACUUGAUUCAAAAAACCAUGAGUUCAAAGCACUGGUCUUCAAGUUCAUGGUUAAUGGCAGCCUUGACAGAUGGUUGCACUCUGAGCAGCACAAUGUAAUCCCAGACAGAGUGCUAAGCUUUGGCCAGAGGAUAUGCAUAGCAACAGAUGUCGCUUCUGCUCUGGAUUAUGUUCACAACCAACUGACGCCUCCUUUGAUCCACUGUGAUUUGAAGCCACACAAUGUCCUUUUGGACGAUAACAUGACGGCACGGCUCAGUGACUUUGGCUCAGCAAAGUUUCUAUUACCAGGCCAGGUUAUUCGUAAAAGCCUGGUUGAUGUCGGAGGGACUAUUGGGUACAUAGCACCUGAGUACGGGCUGGGCUGCAAGAUCUCUGUAGGAGCUGACGUGUAUAGUUUUGGAGUGCUUCUGCUAGAGUUGCUUACCGGAAAACGACCAACCGAUGAUAUGUUCAUCGAUGGGCUCACCCUUCCCAUUUUCUCUGAAUCCAUGUUCCCUGGCCUAGUUGCGGAGAUGCUAGAUCCUCAUAUGGCGCAUGAGGAGCAUCAAGGGUGCGUAGAAGCAUGGAUGCAGAGAUAUAUUGUCCCGUUGGUUGCUCUGGGGCUGUCAUGUACUGUGGAAUCUCCAAAGGACAGACCUGGAAUGAAAGAUGUUUGUGCAAAACUUUCUUCUCUCAGAGACGACUUUCUGGAACGCCAUCAUGACGAUUGA
rnacentral:rRNA from 1 species